rnacentral:rRNA from 1 species
CCAGUGUGAUUCGUCACACUAUCAUUAACUGAAUCCAUAGGUUAAUGAGGCGAACCGGGGGAACUGAAACAUCUAAGUACCCCGAGGAAAAGAAAUCAACCGAGAUUCCCCCAGUAGCGGCGAGCGAACGGGGAGCAGCCCAGAGCCUGAAUCAGUGUGUGUGUUAGUGGAAGCGUCUGGAAAGGCGCGCGAUACAGGGUGACAGCCCCGUACACAAAAAUGCACAUGCUGUGAGCUCGAUGAGUAGGGCGGGACACGUGGUAUCCUGUCUGAAUAUGGGGGGACCAUCCUCCAAGGCUAAAUACUCCUGACUGACCGAUAGUGAACCAGUACCGUGAGGGAAAGGCGAAAAGAACCCCGGCGAGGGGAGUGAAAAAGAACCUGAAACCGUGUACGUACAAGCAGUGGGAGCACGCUUAGGCGUGUGACUGCGUACCUUUUGUAUAAUGGGUCAGCGACUUAUAUUCUGUAGCAAGGUUAACCGAAUAGGGGAGCCGAAGGGAAACCGAGUCUUAACUGGGCGUUAAGUUGCAGGGUAUAGACCCGAAACCCGGUGAUCUAGCCAUGGGCAGGUUGAAGGUUGGGUAACACUAACUGGAGGACCGAACCGACUAAUGUUGAAAAAUUAGCGGAUGACUUGUGGCUGGGGGUGAAAGGCCAAUCAAACCGGGAGAUAGCUGGUUCUCCCCGAAAGCUAUUUAGGUAGCGCCUCGUGAAUUCAUCUCCGGGGGUAGAGCACUGUUUCGGCAAGGGGGUCAUCCCGACUUACCAACCCGAUGCAAACUGCGAAUACCGGAGAAUGUUAUCACGGGAGACACACGGCGGGUGCUAACGUCCGUCGUGAAGAGGGAAACAACCCAGACCGCCAGCUAAGGUCCCAAAGUCAUGGUUAAGUGGGAAACGAUGUGGGAAGGCCCAGACAGCCAGGAUGUUGGCUUAGAAGCAGCCAUCAUUUAAAGAAAGCGUAAUAGCUCACUGGUCGAGUCGGCCUGCGCGGAAGAUGUAACGGGGCUAAACCAUGCACCGAAGCUGCGGCAGCGACGCUGAUGCGUUGUUGGGUAGGGGAGCGUUCUGUAAGCCUGUGAAGGUGUGCUGUGAGGCAUGCUGGAGGUAUCAGAAGUGCGAAUGCUGACAUAAGUAACGAUAAAGCGGGUGAAAAGCCCGCUCGCCGGAAGACCAAGGGUUCCUGUCCAACGUUAAUCGGGGCAGGGUGAGUCGACCCCUAAGGCGAGGCCGAAAGGCGUAGUCGAUGGGAAACAGGUUAAUAUUCCUGUACUUGGUGUUACUGCGAAGGGGGGACGGAGAAGGCUAUGUUGGCCGGGCGACGGUUGUCCCGGUUUAAGCGUGUAGGCUGGUUUUCCAGGCAAAUCCGGAAAAUCAAGGCUGAGGCGUGAUGACGAGGCACUACGGUGCUGAAGCAACAAAUGCCCUGCUUCCAGGAAAAGCCUCUAAGCAUCAGGUAACAUCAAAUCGUACCCCAAACCGACACAGGUGGUCAGGUAGAGAAUACCAAGGCGCUUGAGAGAACUCGGGUGAAGGAACUAGGCAAAAUGGUGCCGUAACUUCGGGAGAAGGCACGCUGAUAUGUAGGUGAAGUCCCUCGCGGAUGGAGCUGAAAUCAGUCGAAGAUACCAGCUGGCUGCAACUGUUUAUUAAAAACACAGCACUGUGCAAACACGAAAGUGGACGUAUACGGUGUGACGCCUGCCCGGUGCCGGAAGGUUAAUUGAUGGGGUUAGCGCAAGCGAAGCUCUUGAUCGAAGCCCCGGUAAACGGCGGCCGUAACUAUAACGGUCCUAAGGUAGCGAAAUUCCUUGUCGGGUAAGUUCCGACCUGCACGAAUGGCGUAAUGAUGGCCAGGCUGUCUCCACCCGAGACUCAGUGAAAUUGAACUCGCUGUGAAGAUGCAGUGUACCCGCGGCAAGACGGAAAGACCCCGUGAACCUUUACUAUAGCUUGACACUGAACAUUGAGCCUUGAUGUGUAGGAUAGGUGGGAGGCUUUGAAGUGUGGACGCCAGUCUGCAUGGAGCCGACCUUGAAAUACCACCCUUUAAUGUUUGAUGUUCUAACGUGGACCCGUAAUCCGGGUUGCGGACAGUGUCUGGUGGGUAGUUUGACUGGGGCGGUCUCCUCCUAAAGAGUAACGGAGGAGCACGAAGGUUGGCUAAUCCUGGUCGGACAUCAGGAGGUUAGUGCAAUGGCAUAAGCCAGCUUGACUGCGAGCGUGACGGCGCGAGCAGGUGCGAAAGCAGGUCAUAGUGAUCCGGUGGUUCUGAAUGGAAGGGCCAUCGCUCAACGGAUAAAAGGUACUCCGGGGAUAACAGGCUGAUACCGCCCAAGAGUUCAUAUCGACGGCGGUGUUUGGCACCUCGAUGUCGGCUCAUCACAUCCUGGGGCUGAAGUAGGUCCCAAGGGUAUGGCUGUUCGCCAUUUAAAGUGGUACGCGAGCUGGGUUUAGAACGUCGUGAGACAGUUCGGUCCCUAUCUGCCGUGGGCGCUGGAGAAUUGAGGGGGGCUGCUCCUAGUACGAGAGGACCGGAGUGGACGCAUCACUGGUGUUCGGGUUGUCAUGCCAAUGGCACUGCCCGGUAGCUAAAUGCGGAAGAGAUAAGUGCUGAAAGCAUCUAAGCACGAAACUUGCCCCGAGAUGAGUUCUCCCUGACUCCUUGAGAGUCCUGAAGGAACGUUGAAGACGACGACGUUGAUAGGCCGGGUGUGUAAGCGCAGCGAUGCGUUGAGCUAACCGGUACUAAUGAACCGUGAGGCUUAACCU